CCUACGGGGGGCAGCAGUGGGGAAUAUUGCACAAUGGGCGAAAGCCUGAUGCAGCAACGCCGCGUGAGCGAUGAAGGCCUUCGGGUCGUAAAGCUCUGUCCUCAAAGAAGAUAAUGACGGUACUUGAGGAGGAAGCCCCGGCUAACUACGUGCCAGCAGCCGCGGUAAUACGUAGGGGGCUAGCGUUAUCCGGAAUUACUGGGCGUAAAGGGUGCGUAGGUGGUUUCUUAAGUCAGAGGUGAAAGGCUACGGCUCAACCGUAGUAAGCCUUUGAAACUGGGAAACUUGAGUGCAGGAGAGGAGAGUGGAAUUCCUAGUGUAGCGGUGAAAUGCGUAGAUAUUAGGAGGAACACCAGUUGCGAAGGCGGCUCUCUGGACUGUAACUGACACUGAGGCACGAAAGCGUGGGGAGCAAACAGGAUUAGAUAC
rnacentral:rRNA from 1 species